GGGGUCUUGGUAUAAUGGGAUUACGACUGGCUGGCAGCCAGUUAAUACGGGUUCAAUUCCCGUAGACUCCA
rfam:Carnobacterium inhibens subsp. gilichinskyi strain WN1359, complete genome.